GCCCGGUUAGCUCAGCCGGUAGAGCGUUGGGCUUUUAAUCCAAAGGCCAAGGUUUCAAGUCCCUUAUCGGGCU
rfam:Ciona savignyi cont_31108, whole genome shotgun sequence.